CGCGUAUAGUCCUACGCCCGUUUUGUCGCCGGUGUCAAUUGUAGUGAUAUUGCACGUGUUUUGGCGACGCAGCGGCUUUUGGUGAACGGUUCGCUGUUGUUUACUGUACUCGAUUACAACGCCGUCAUGACGCAUUCGGCGCAUCCGAACAAUUGGAUGAAUCGGAUCGCAAAUGCCAACGGUACCGGGCUUAUAAGGGCAUGCGGUAUCGAUGGAUCCGAAAACCGCACACUCUUGGCAGGUAAAAACCGCUCACGUUUAGAUUUAGUAGGUUAAAACCGCACGUUUUUUUAAUAAUGUAUAAUUUAUUAUUUAUCAAUAAUUAAUCUAGAAAUUUAUAAAAUAAAACAUCAAAUAUUAUAAUUGUAUCUUAAUUAGUGUUGUUAAAUAUUAAUGUAAAAUACAAUCAAUCGACUAAAAAACAAUGAUCAAAGUUUUAAGCAAAAAGCCGACGUUUUUUCAAUGAAUUAAACAUAUUUUAAAAAAAAUGUUUACAUAAUUAUUGGGAGGAAUUGAUAGCCGAUGGUUUUUUAGAAAUUUUAAACGAUCUUCGUCCGUCGAAGAAGAAUUGCUCGUUAACUAACUUAUUUUUGUUUUUCAAUUGCACGGAAGAUAUGUUCGUAUAACAAUAUAUUAUAAAAUAUUAUAUUUUAUAAUUAGCGUACAGUUUUACCCUACUAUAGAUGUGUGGUAUUUGACUACAAAAUGUACCUAUCUGUCGACCGAUGAAGUGCGCGGUUUCUGUCUACCGACCUUUUUGGGAUGCAACCAUAUAGUGUACUAGUUGGGUCCCGUGUUUAUUAGGGUAUUAUAUUAGUUGGGUCACGGGUUUAUAAGGGAAACGUACUAAUUGGAUCCCGGAUUCCCGCAAGUAACUGGUACUAGUCGACUAUAGGGUAACAACAUGGUAUGGUAUGCUUGUCGUUGGCUUAGAGAAUAUCCUUUUUUUUUAAAAAAAAAAAAAAGUUAUUGUUGCUACCGGUGCAGAACAACAGCGAGAUAUUCAAUAUAGAGGGGCCGUAGGCAAACAAAUACAAAACUAUCGGUACAAUAGUUUUUACUAUCCUGUUGUUGAUACCAUUAUCAGUCAUUUAAAUCAAGGUUUUCCGAAGAAUCUCAAAAAUCAACCAAAGCAACAGAAAGUUUUAUAAGUCUUGACCGCACCAAUGUUUUGUGUUUUAUCAACUAUUACAAGGUAUGAAAAUUAUUUUGUAAUUCGUUAUAAUUUUAUAAAUAUAUUAAACGAUCUAUAUUUUAGAUCUGUUUUCAAUAAACAGGGAUUGUUUGAAGUUGGAUAUUAUGGUUGCUGAAACUGUACGAUUCAACUUACUGAAAUAUUUAGGUGUUAGAAAAAAAAUUAAAACAGGUAAUCAGUAAAACUGUUUAUACUAAUUUAUUUCAGUCACUUCAAGUUGACUUAGUUUUACCGAUUUCAUCGGUUUCGUGUGAAAGUAGUAAUGUGAAGAGUAAAAUCUUGGUUAUGUACCAUAAUGGGUCAAGAGAGACCAUCAGACUUAUUAAUUAUCCACCUAAUUGAAAGAAAUUAAUAUGUUGGAAAUAAGUGUACAUUAUCAUUAAACUUUAACUAAAUAAAAUAAAUUUGUUUCGCAAAAAUUUUAAAAUUGAUUUAUGUUUAUUUUAUUUUAUUUAUAGAGAUGGUGUGAUACUUGGAGUGUGUCAGUUCUUACACACUUGUUCUCUCCAAAAUUUGUUCGGCGCUUAAGACCCCCCUAAUAUUUUUGGGUUAUUUUCUCCUACGACUAAAGGGCACACUAAUAAGCCUAAUACAUAUAGUAUUACAUAUUAUUUUAGUACAAUUUAAUGAGCAAAUUGAAUUUGCUUGUUGCUGUAUAUGCUAUCGACAUAAAAAAUCAUAUCUACUACUAAAUGUUUUAUUAUUUUACCAAUUUUGUAUUUUCUAAGAGUAAUAGUUUUCUUAAUCAUUAUUCGUUUUUUAAAAAAAUCUUACCUGUAUUAUAGGUACAUAUUAUACAUUAUGAUACAGUAAGUACAUUAUGUAUGAAAGUUGUCAAUUCGAUUAUUGUAGGUAGGUAUUAUUUUUCUUUUAUCCGCCUCUCAGACAAUUAGUGGCACCGUGCGUUUUUUAUCAUUAUACACAAAUCAGUAUAAAUCGAUUUACCGAUUAGAUUUCACGUGUAUUGUACGUUCAAUAAAUUUGGUAGAUAUUUCAUAGUAUAAUUUAUCACUAGGUAGUGCGGCCACUAUCUUCGGGCGUUCGGCAAAAAAGACCUGCGGCACAGGAAAAAAGAUCGUUAAGGAAAAGGCGUACGGAGACCGUAUUUGUGACGGGACAGUGGCUUCCCAUUAUUUCGCCUCGGCCGAACGGGCGUUUAUAUUAAAAAAAAUAAUAAUAAAUAAAUAAAAACAAAAUAUAAAAUAAUAUUUGUAGAUAUCAAACGGCACCAGCACCGAUGCAACGCUAGAUACGAUUUUUUUUUUUUUUUUUUUUUUUUUUUGUUUAUGUAAACAGCAUACGCAACACCAACAGUGUGCCGCUACAUUUUUAAUAUUUUUUUCACAUAACUGGGAAAACGCGUUCAAAAUGUUGCGAGUACAUUAUAGAAAGAGCCCGGGUAUGAAACCCACGGGCCUCGGGUUUCGUCAAGUUUAAUGGCGAUUUAUUUGUCAAACAGAAAAAAAAAAAAAAAAAAAACCAUAGUGAUUUUAUUUGCGCGCCGGUAAACGAAAAUAAAUUGAACGUCGCCGAUUCCAUUACAAUUCGUGUACAAAACCGCCCGGCCCGUAAUAUUAACGAUAUUUACAUUUGGAAAAUCGUUUUCCAACGCGGAAUCGGUUGCUCGCAGUGAAACUGAUUAAGCGGUUUAAAACCGUAUUGUACCGGUAUUAUGCGACCGCGGUGUUCGAGACGAUCGUAUUAAAAACGAUGUACAAAUAAACGGGGUUGUUUAACGGCGGUAUAAAUAAAAUGUGGUAUUGACGUAAAGAAAAAAAAAAUAAAUAUAUGUAUAUUAUAUACGAGUGUGUUUCGCGGAAAAACGACGACGGUAUUAUACGUUGUUUUUUUUUUGUUACUUGCGCUUAUUUUCAACAGUAAGAACAAAAAUAUAUGUAUGCAUGGGUAUAAUAAGCAGGUAGCCGCCCCGCGUAAAAUAAUAUUUCGAAACGUAUCGUCGUCAUUGAUUAUUGCAUUUUUUACAAAUUCGUUGUUUUGUUUGUCCAUCACCGAAAUUCUAUUCGAAUACAAGAUUUCGGAGAGUGAAAAAUAUACGAUUUUUACUAUAGGUACGUUACAUUUUACAUACAGGGUACCCAAGGGAGGCGCCCGGAGGUGAAAAUUCAGCAGGGGAGUGGCAGCCUCACAUUUUAUUAAUAUUCAAACACUUUUACUAAUGUAUUAUCGAUAUAAGUAUCACUUAAGAAAAAUUACAUUUUUUAAAUUUUGUAAUAAAUAUUAAUAUGCAAGCACGGUUUUAACAUUAUUGUUUGUCAGUCUCGAUACAUUGACUAUUAGGUUAGGCGAACUUAACAGAAUAGGUUAGGAACACCUACGUAUUAGGACGCGUUAAUUUUCUCAAAACACGUACUCGUCGAAUAGCUUAAAUACUAAAUUAUCAUUCAACGUUCAUUGAAUUCCGAGUUUUGUAGAAGCCGCACAAUGGACCGGACAGACUAAUCAAACGGGCGUGCGUUUACAGGACGCACCGACUCACCACGGCGCGCCCGCCGUAUGCGUCACACGCGCGUUAUCGGAGUUCUCGGAAGAACCGGGGACGGGCACUGGGGGCCGGCGACGACAACAACAACAACAACAACAACAAUAACGGCACUACGAUCGUCGGUCGGACCGACCGACCGACACCAGCAACCGCCCCGCGACACCCCGAUCCCGUAAUACGUGUAGGUGGGUGCAUUAACGUAACGAUAUUGUUACACGUAUACGGUUUUAACGUCGCGCGGCCGGCGCUCCGGACGGUCCGCGCGCGCGUUCGGGCGGUCUCGAAACGGUCGGCGACGGGGGGGCGGCGGGAGCCCCAGUCGGCUUCGGCGGCGGCGGCCGCACCGCAAUAUAUCAGACGAGUGUGCGCGCGUAUAUAUAUAUAUAUAUAUAUAUAUAUUUACGCGCGUGUAUAUAUAUAUAUAUUUAUGCGCGUGUAUUAUUAUUAUUAUAAUAUAGUGAAAGCGGAAAAGCCGGACAUAAAUUCCGGACGGCGGCGACUUAAUUUAUACGCGGAACGGGGUGAAAAUGUCGCGCGCGCACCUUAAACACGCGAGCCGCCUCCCGCCGCCGCCGCCGCCGUUUCGCGAAACCCUAAUCAUUUUCCCCGUCCGUCCCGAUUCGCGUACCGCCGUUGCCUCCGCCGCCGUCGCCUUUACUUUCGGCGGACGAGAACGGCGGCGCGCAGUCUCCGGGGACGCCGACGCCGACGCCGAUUCAUCCCGAAACGCCGACUAUACCGAUUUCUAUCUUUCGUCCGUCUCUCUCUCUCUCUCUCUCUCUCUCUCUCUGCCCCGAAAGCUGCGGGGCAGUAACCGUAAUAAUAUAUUAUUAUUAUUAUUAUAUAUCGCAGUCGAGUACCGAACAUUUUUCAUUAAAAAUUGCCACGAAAACGCGUAACUUUUAAGUGGCCCGUACACUUUUUUUUUUCGAACCCGUCGGGAACUAUUGUAACUUAAAGUCAAAGAUAAUAAUAUAUCGUUAGGUUUUCCGUUGAUUUACACAGUCACGUAUUUAUAUCCGUAUACAUGUACAGAAAACAAAAACAAGGUAUUUUGCACGAUUAACACGGAAACAAUCAAACAUCGCGACGUAUUCUCAUCGACUUUGUUGUCGUGAAACAUUGUAAUUUAACCGGACGAUGUUUUUUGUAACCGAAACCGGUCGUAACUAAUACGCAUACACACACACACAACUAAUUUAUUUAGUAGUAUGUUAUUUUAUUGGUAUCAAACGGUCGGGAUGAAGACGAAGGAGAAAAUGAAGUCGAGGAUUGUAAAUGGUUUUUUUUUUUUUUUAAUUUUAUUUUACGAAAAACAGUUUUUCGGUUAGUAGGUAACAACAUGGGUCCGAUUUUGUCACGUGCUGUAGUGCCUUGAAAAAAAGGGGAAUUUCGGCCGAUGGUAUUUUUUAAUCGAAAUAUUUGUCGAAAAUCUCUUAUCAUAAAUUACAACAUUAUAAUGUUUUGUUUAUAAUUCAUUCUUUCGCUAUAAAUUCCGCUCAACUACAGUUACUACUACAACUAAUAGUCUACAGUUCACUCUGUAGGUCCUUUUUUUUUUUUUUUGGUUUCUGAUUUUCGUUGAUUUCUACGUAAACUAAUUAUUGGUGAUGAAAAAAAAAAAAACACGACUUACAGUCCAACAUAAUACUUCGUUGAAAACCGUUUGCGAUUUAUCGUAAAACACAAUAUGUACACCUGAGCUAAAUUACCGUAUACCAUAAUAUAUGAUAUACCUUCACAACUACCAACACAUGGAAAAAAAUAAAACAUGCGUUGUAAAUAGUCGAUAGAAAUUAUACAAAAUGUGUACAUUGAAAAUAAGCGCAGGUAAAGUGAUCGAUUCCGCAACAGAGUUAACCGAUUGCGAUUGAUGUGUGUAUAGUGCAUAACUCAAUUUAUUUUAGGCGCUAUAGUACAACCACCCAAUAUUAUUAUAAAUUACUAUUGCUAUUGUCAUUUUGAAGACAAUAUUUUUGUAGCGAAUACUGGAAACUUUGAAAUCAUAAAAAUAAUGGCUGAUGCUGGAAACGAGUGCGACCACUGUUGUAUUUAGGUAGUUGGGAAGGUGAGACACAUAAAGUUAUUAAAUUUAUACCCGUAACCAACGGUAAACCAUUACUAACGAAAAACGUUUAUAAAGUUUUUAUCAUUCGGCACGUUAUUUACAUAGAAUAAUACAACUGUGGAUAAACCGAUCGAAUAGUUUCCAUUCAGUCGUGCUGUCCAUUACUAUAAUAUUGUCCUAACUACAAGUUGGUAACCAGUGGCGCCGAACCACGUUUUAAGAAGGUGGGCAGGUAAAAAGUUGUAUAGACCACUACCCUAGUUUACAAAACAAACUCCCAUACAACACUCUUAAUAUUCCGUACUUACCAAUUCGAUAAAAAAUAUGGCUCAGGUAUCAAUCAUGGAUCCACCACCAUAGGUCCAUUAAAAGAAGGUGGUGUCGGCGCCACUGAUGGGAACUGAUCGAGAAUAGCACAAAACAUUUUCGUCGUAAAAGUCCUGAUUCCAAAAUGACUCGGUAUUUUAUAAAACGGAAAUCCAAUGGAAUUCGAAGUUUUUAUUAAAUGUGACAAUUCCGUUGUAUUUUUAUCAGCACAUUAGUAGGAGAAUAAUAAUUAUUAUUUUUUUUUAAUUCAGCAUUAUUUUAAACGACGCGUAUCGUUUAUUUAAAUUGAAAAUACCGUAAACACAAAAUCGCAUUUUCGGAGUUACGAUAAUUUUAUUGGGAAUUAGGUCGAAGAUAUGUGAUCCACUGGUCAGUACAGCCUAUCGAUUUUAAACGGUUUCGAUCGUACUGCACGAUAUUAUCAUUUUUAUUUUGGUCGUUUUUCAUGUUUCGGGCUGUUAUAACUUUAUUUACACUGGACAUUUUUACCGAAAGAUAGUUCUAGGUUAUUUUUUCGAAUUUUUUCACUCCGUUUUAGGACUUUCACCUGCUUAUUUCUUAAUAAAAACGACACUUUUCUAUGUACCGAUUUUACGAUCUUAAUCUAUACUUACAUUAUAGUUGGUGUCUAUAAGUUAAUUUCGGAGAGGUUCUUUUACGUUUUAACAAAGUUGCGCCCCUUGUUUUUUUAUGCUUUUUAUUCUUUCGAAACAUUGUUUGAAAACCUUUUUCCGACGACCGAUCAAUAACAGAAUUAAGUUUAUUUUUUAUACAUCUACCUAUUAUAAUUAAGGGAUAACCUAAAUCCAGCUUUCAACCAUUCAGAAUUAUCAUUUCGCAGAAAAUUUAGGUGCCAAUUUAUUUUAUAUUACAAUCUAAAAUAAUUGAAAACCCAACUCGAAUGUUUUUAUUUAUUUGAUAACCGCUUAAAAUGUGAUAAACGUUCCAUUAACAUCGAAUAACACAACUCGGAAUCGUUUUCCGGAAUUCAUUUUAUUUUAUAUCACUAUAUUAUUCAAAUUCACAUUACUGAACUUCGCAGAAAGGCAAUUUUACGUGUGCUCAACAUUCUAUAUAUUUAUUAUCGUACAUCUUCGUGUCUGUUGCUUGAUAAAUCUCCUUGUCCGACUUUUCAAAAAAACAUACGGUGACUUUCAUAUUACGAUUUUCGCAAAAUACCCUAUCCCAAAUUACGUUGCACAAAUUAUAAUGAAAAAUUAUUGUCCGACAUUAAUUUAUCGUGAAACGUGAAAUUAAUAAUUGUGACGUGCAUUACAAAAACAAUAGGGGAAAUUAUAGGCGCGAGUAAUUAAUUUCUUAUUCGUGUGUUUAGAUUACCGCCUACUAUACAUCUCCGGCUUAAAUUGUAAAAUUAGUGGCGUUAUGCUUUUGAAGAGUAUACAAACGUGGAAUCCGGGGUUUUACGGAUAUCCGAACCGUAUGAAUCUGGAAAAAGUAUAAAAUGUGAUGAAUUAUUAUACACGCCAAGUGAUCCAUUCGAGUGUGUACAUUCAUUAUAUCGGAAAGUAAUGAACUAUUCCGGAAUUCGUUUUCCAGAACAUUUAAGAAACAAGCUGUUCUAUACAAUUGUAUGGUUAUGUUAUUUUUUUUUGUCAACCUUAUUUUCGGGGGUAAAACCGCCAAUGUUGAAACUUUUGAUUUCUGUCAAGCCAUUGACGAGAUAUUUCACUUUUAAAUUCGGGUUGGAAGAGAGUAGUGGUAUACGUAUUGUUAACACGCCGCGCGCUACACGACAUGUCACUCCACUACUUUCCCGCAACACAAACUUACAAGUGGAAUAUCUCGUCAACGGAUCGACGGAAAUCAAAAAUGUCAACACUAAAAUUUAUUUUAACCGAUUCUCCGUCUACGGGCGGGAUUUUUAAUAUAGAUUGCCGUUUGAAAAUCAAAAACAUUGGUUUUAACCGUGAAAAAAUAUGGGUGACCGAAAAGUAACAUAUUAAUAUAUGAAAUUGUAGGGCGGCUGGUUUCUUGAGUUUUCUAGAAAACAAAUUCCGGCAAAAGCCAACGCUUUCCGAGACCCACGAGUGUACCCACUGAAAUGGAUCACCCGACCCGUACGUUUCCGGGCCUGCGCGUUUCGGAUUUCCCGCGCCCGUAAAAUCCCGGAUAUUGUAUAAUGUGCAAUUUCCACACGUGUACGUUCCAGACGCGUGCGCGCGUCCCGCGUUGUCGUGUCGCUUUUUAUUGUGAACGUGACGCGGAGUCGCAUAAUAACAAUAAUAAUAAUAUCGCAUGCGUGUGCACGUCUGUUACCGUCGCGACGCCGCGUAGCACAUAAUAUCGCGUAUAAAAUCGUAAUGUAACGCGCCAUCAUACUUACGGGGCGAGUACGAAAAUAUUACAUUGUAGCGUAACAUCUUUCCGGUCAGUUUCGGGCCUCGCGGAAAACGGGUCGACACCCGCGCGCUACGCGACGACGUCCGAGGCCGCGUCUCGACAUUUUAUACUUGUACGUGCAUAUACAUAUAUAUAUAUAUAUAUAUAUAUAUAUACCUACGUUAUCAGAGUGCGCGCGUACCCUCGUCCCCCGUGUCGUAAAUACCCGGCCGUUCCGGGCAAAAGACAUUUCCGAGGCUCAUUAACUCUGCCGCGGAACGUCGCCGUUUUGCCCGCAACCUUCUAAACAUAAUGACGCGCGUUUUCCGCCCGUCGAAAUGUACGUCGUCAGCGUCGUCGUCGUCGUCGUACAAAGAGUUUUGCAGUUUACUUUACGCGCACACAUACGCGCGCGCAAACACUCUUUGUCUUUGUCUCGGCGGCGUCGCCGUCAACUAUAAUAACCGUAUAAAUAUACUAUGGCCGCAUGCACAAACUUUGAGCUCUUUAAAAUUAGUAUAUGGUGCCGAGGUACCGAUCGAAUAAUAAUAAUAAUAAUAAAAAAAAAAAAAAAAAUGUAAAAACAAUAAUUAUAACGUGAAAUUAUAAUAGGUGUCUAUUGCAGUGGGCGUAAUCGGGAUUUUUUUAUUGGGGAGGGUGGAGCGCCGCUAAAUUCGGUUGGAUUGCUUGAAUCGUGAGUGUGUAAGGAGUAUAAUCAGUGUAUAAUGAGUGAAACCCGCAGUAAAUCUGUCUGAUCGGAUCGGAUCGACCCACCCCUCCAGAAAAAAAAAAAUUAAUUUUGACAAGUUAGAUUAAAUUACCUAUAAGGCUAUAGCAACGGCUGCACCCGUCCCCAUUAUCAUAGGUCAGAUUUAGAAAUUUUAAUUUGAUCGAUUUAAAAUUUAAUUACGAUUUAUUGUAAUAUUGUAAUAUUAUAAUAUUUAUAAUAUGUAUAUUGUAUACAGUUUAAUGGUUUCAUUUUAUUUUUAACACUUCGAAAAUCAAUUAUUUUAUAUACCUUUAGCCUUUUUUUCGUGGCAACACUGUACAUUUUGUGUGGUGUGAUAUUUCAUAGUAUACAUGUCUGAAAUCUACAAUCUUUAGGCGUUUCUGCGAUUUUCGCAUAAUAAUUAAGAAGCUAAUAUUAAUAAUAAGGUAUAGAAGCUAUAAUUCACUAUUCACUCCGAAAUUGUAACUUUCUCCAUUCCUUAAAAAUAUCCACGAGCAGACAAACCAAACCAUCCCCUUAACUCUUGGAUUAUCCUCAGUUAACCCUCCCCUUCCCGGUGAGAGUAUAUUAUCUGUAUGAAAUAUAAUAUUUUGUACAGGAAAUAUAAUAACAUUAUAAUAAGACCUGUCAGAAGCGACGUCCCUAAGUUUAAACAUCGCGCGUCCUAACCUCGUCCUAAAACCUCAUCCUGAAUUCUCAACCACGAUGCUCUGAUUAUGAACGUGCAUUUGGUGUGUGUAUAUAUACUAGCACGUACAUGUAUAGUAGAAGUCUUGUAAUUUGAACACACGUUCUUCGCCUACCACGAACCGUCACCACUUGUAUUUUAUAAUCCGAUCAACACAGGUUUUAUCGCCCACCAAAGUUUCCUCUUUAAAAUCCGUUAAUUAUUUUCUCGCCAAUAUAAUAAAUCGUUAAGCUGCACGUUUUCGCUGUCCGUUCGAAUGAAAGUCGACCCGAGCUAUGCGUUUAACAUUUAACGUUUAUAACUUUUCCUCAUAAGAGUAAAUAACAUAAAAUAACACCUAUAAAAAUUAAUCAUUUGUGAUUUAUCGAACUUUAAAUCGAUCCGUAUGUUUAUCAGUUUAUCAGGCACAAUUUCAUUUAUGUAAAUCGAUUUUCGAAAACCAAAAUAAACCACCAGUUUAACGAUCAGUUUAAAAUAUUUAAUUUAAUUACAGAAAUUGUUUUUUUAAAAAUAAAUAAAAUUGAAAAAUUGGGAAUAGGUAUCGACAUUAAUAUAAUAUUAAACCGACCAUAUAAAUAAGUACAGAAAUGUUUUUACUACGAUUAUAAAUACUAUGAUGGCCCAAUAAUCUAAGAUAGAUGUCUACCAAAGUGACUAUCGUAAAUUAGCUGGAUUCUAGGCUUCUAGCGCUCGUAUGACGGUGUGAGAGAAUGUCAAGUUUAGAAAUCCCACACAUUUUGAUGUGACGCGUCAGAUUCAUAAUAUUUUAUUAGUUUAAGACCAAAAAUGUGACAUUGCUUGAAUCGAUAUUCUCUCACGUUUCACACUGUCACAUGAGCGCUAGCAGUCUAAAAUUCAGGUGAUUCACGGGAGCCACUUCGGUAAACACUUUAACCUAGGACCCAGGUCACUGGGCAACCAAAUUACCGAUGAUUUUUUACAUACAUUCGAUUAGUAUAACGUGUAUAACCAAUAAUAACUGUAAUUAGGAUACAGGGCAGGUUACUAUAAUUCAUAUUUUUUACAGGCAUGAAUAUACAUACCGCUUAUAAGAAGUGAUGUGCCAUGGAUAAGUAUCCGAUAGGUAAGUAAAUAUUUUGGGUAUUUACCCGUAGGUAUACUUACCUACCUAAACUAUGUGUAAAUAAUACUUAUUUUUUAAUCUGAUCAAACUGUUUAUUUCUACUAUAUAAAUAUUAUUUACUUAUUUUUAUUUUUUAUUUUGUUAUAAUAAUAUUUUUGAUUUACGACCAAAUUUUUAUCGUAAAUUGAAUAUUAUACUAUUCAUAAUUUUAUUGCACAUGUGGUGUAAAGAAAACAAUUUUUUUUUUGG